rnacentral:lncRNA from 1 species
ACAACAUAGUCCUAUGUAGCAUGAGUGUAUGGGGAAAAAUCCCUUACCUUAGUCGAUUUCCUUCCAAGCACAAUACUAGCCUAAAUUCGCAGCUACAGUGCACACGCUAUAUCACUCGUUCCAGAGUUCGUUUUGACAAUCCGACGGUUGAAAACGAAGAAUCACGUGUCACAACCCCAACAAAUUUGUUUAACGAGAAUGAGACUAAAAGAACUUGAUGACCACUUGAGUUGAUGAGUGUGUGGGCAUUGCAAGAGAAACAAAAUAAGGUCUUUGCUUGUUUUUGAUUUAGGCGUGCAAGCUUUUGGUAUGGUUUACUGUGAAUUUGAAAAUGGAGCUGUAAUAGCUAGAAGAAUGAAAAACAUGGUAUACUUAACUAAACAAAUUGUAGUUAAAAUGGUGAUAAAUUUGAAGGCACAAAUGUAUAGUAUAUAAAGGCACAAAUUGGACUAUGGUAGGGGAAGGGAACAGGGCUAGCGAACAAAUAUUGUUGUCGUGUAUAAUAAUGAUGGUUGAAGGGGGUUUGGUUUAUAAGGAGAAAGGGUGU